rnacentral:tRNA from 1 species
AAGAGUGACUCACUUACACUGCUAAUGUUAGUACCUAGAUAUAACACUCUAGCGCUCUUA